rnacentral:rRNA from 1 species
AGUGAACGCUGGCGGUAGGCCUAACACAUGCAAGUCGAACGGCAGCACAGUAAGAGCUUGCUCUUACGGGUGGCGAGUGGCGGACGGGUGAGGAAUACAUCGGAAUCUCCUUUUUCGUGGGGGAUAAGGUAGGGAAACUUACGCUAAUACCGCAUACGACUUACGGGUGAAAGCAGGGGAUCUUCGGACCUUGCGCGAUUGAUUGAGCCGAUGUCGGAUUAGCUAGUUGGCGGGGUAAAGGCCCACCAAGGCGACGAUCCGUAGCUGGUCUGAGAGGAUGAUCAGCCACACUGGAACUGAGACACGGUCCAGACUCCUACGGGAGGCAGCAGUGGGGAAUAUUGGACAAUGGGCGCAAGCCUGAUCCAGCCAUACCGCGUGGGUGAAGAAGGCCUUCGGGUUGUAAAGCCCUUUUGUUGGGAAAGAAAAGCAGCAGGUUAAUACCCCGCUGUUCUGACGGUACCCAAAGAAUAAGCACCGGCUAACUUCGUG